UACGGGGGGUGCGAGCGUUGUCCGGAAUCACUGGGCGUAAAGGGCGCGUAGGCGGGAUGACAAGUCGGUCGUGAAAUCCCUGGGCUCAACUCAGGGGGGUCGGCCGAUACUGCCAUUCUUGAGGGAUGCAGAGGAGACUGGAAUUCCCGGUGUAGCGGUGAAAUGUGUAGAGAUCGGGAGGAACACCGGUGGCGAAGGCGGGUCUCUGGGCAUUCCCUGACGCUGAGGCGCGAAAGCGUGGGGAGCAAACGGG
rnacentral:rRNA from 1 species